rnacentral:rRNA from 1 species
UACAGAGGGGGCAAGCGUUGUUCGGAAUUACUGGGCGUAAAGGGCGCGUAGGCGGCCUUCUAAGUCGAACGUGAAAUCCCCGGGCUCAACCCGGGAACUGCGUCCGAUACUGGAAGGCUUGAAUCCGGGAGAGGGAUGCGGAAUUCCAGGUGUAGCGGUGGAAAUGCGUAGAUAUCUGGAGGAACACCGGUGGCGAAGGCGGCAUCCUGGGACCGGCAUUGACGCGUGAGGCGCGGAAAGCCAGGGGAGCAAAGCGGG